rnacentral:lncRNA from 1 species
GGGAAUUGAGCUGCAGCGAAGAGAGGAUAGCCAAUAUCUGAAUUAGGCUUCUCUAUAUUAGGCACUUCACAUCUGUUUUUGUUUACCUUUUAUAUUUCCUGUUGUCGUGUAUUUACUUUACUUUGGGUCUUGUUAUGUGGAGAAAUAAUAUUUAUGACUUGGAUUAAACGCGUCAGAGCUCUUGAGCGUGAAAUGGCUCAUUUGUAGCAGGUCAUUGUUUCACAAAUAGAAUGUAUCUGUAAUAUUUCUCCACCGUAUGCUGACUUGCUAAGUGGUAGACAAAAAUGAUACAUGAGCUGAAUUCCUAUUUAUUUGUUGCAUCUCGCCAUCUGCUAUGUCGUCGAUAUGUGCAUGUAUACCUGAUUUCUCUGGUAACUAAGGUGUAUAAGGACGAUGGUUUUGUUGAUCAUGUGCUCUCUAAUAUUUACUUGACCAAUAUAUUACGUCAUCCACUCAAGUUGUGAAUAGCCUCACCAUACACAUGUUUGAUCAGGUUGGUUGCUUUUCCACAGUUCAAGCAAUCCUUUCCAUUUCCCCAAAUGUCAUUCUUUUGCUUUAUGCUAAUGUCAUGAUGUUAUGACUUAUAACACUUGUUGUCAGGAGGAUAUUCCUAAGAAAAUUUAGAUGCUAACAUUUGAGAGCAUAUUUGAAUAUUUGCAUAGCUUGACAUCGAGCUAAUGCCGUCUUAGGAUAAUCAUGAUAUAUUUGGCACAUGCUGACUUAUCUGAGGGGUACCUGUACUCACUCACGUGUUAUAAUUUGUAUGUGCAGGGAAUUGAUACCUGUUCAAUUGGCUCUUCAUGACUUGCACAUCUACAUUUGAUCUAUAUAUGUAAUAAGGUACGUGAUCAAAUAAGCUAUGUGACCCUGUGCAUUUUUUCAUUUAUCAAAAUAGAUACAUGGAUUGCCCUCUGCAUAAUUGACCCUAGUUAGUCUUAGAAACAGCUGUACCAUAUUGGAGUAUGAUUCUAGAACCUUUCUCUGUUUUUUUUUGGCUUUGUUAUAUUUCCUUCAGUCCAGAUGCCUGGGUAGGCUAGAUGCAUGUAGUUGUUUUCCUGCAGUCUAGAUGGCAGCAGUCUAUUAGGCGCCUUAUUAGGUAUGCCGGGUUUUCUCUUCCUUGAGUUAUUGUGAUUCUAUUAUCGAUGAAAAAGAUGAGCUCCCUGUGAAGAUUUGUAUUCAGUUGUUAUCUUCUUCAGCCCCAGUCCUCGACCCAAAACUGUACGUGAUAUAUGAUGCCGCAUCAACUAAGUCCACUUACGGGUGGUUAAAAGCACCUUGGGCUCAGUGAUAUCAUGCUUUCUGGACCACAAUACAUUUCCUGGGUUCUGCAGAUCCAACCUUCAGCUCAACAUCACCAAUGAGCAAAGCGGGGCUUCAACCUUCACCUAUGUGCUUUUCCUGCUGGCCUCAGCUAUAGGGCUCCAGCCUGGUGACCAGCAGCUGUCAUUGUCUAUUGCAGCUGGCUUAGGUGCAGAUGAGCAGAUGAUUUCGCCUGGUGGUUAAUAAUUUCUUAAUUCUAAAGAGUAAUUUGCGGGGCAUGUGUGUAAUACGCCAAGACUAUUCUGGAGAUCAACCCAAUCAUGCCCAAAUGCCUUAAAACGUAUGCACUCAACAUGCACUAAAUAUUUUAUAUGAACCAGUGAGUAAAAUUGAAGCUGGUAGAUUUCUAAGAAAUUGUACUAGAAAUAGACAAAAUCCAUGACUGUUGAUGAACUAUGUGUACACACAGCAGCAUAAUUACAGAGCUGUCCUAGAAAUCAUGAGAUAACCAUUAUACAUAAAGAAACAGAUACAGUGAUAAUGAAAGAUGUGACUAGUGUUUCACAAGAAAGUACAUUCACUGUUACCCCAGCAGGCCAAGGAAGAUACAUACAGUAGUCAUCUUGCACGAUCUACAUCUAGGACCAAUUUGGCUGUGUUGGUGCUCUGGUAUUUCAUUUCGUCAGAAGCUAUAGACAUUGAUGAUUCUCCAUCAGGGUAUUGCGUCCUCAUAGGAUUUGGUGUGGUGACUUGCUGCAUCUGGAUUCUCCUCAACAUUUGCAAACGCUCUGCUACUUCCUUCAUUGUUGGCCUCUCAUCUCCUCUUGGGUUCAAACAAUGCAUGACGAGUUCAGCUAGUUUCUCGAGCACCACCGUAACUUCAUCUUCUAUUAUAUCAUCAUCCAAUAUAUCGCGGAGCUUCUUCUGGUGAAACGUCAUGAGGAAGGCAUGCGAUAGCGCUUUCUGUUCAUUAAGAUUAUCAAUGAAUAUAGCCUUCUUUCUUGUUAGUAGCUCUAGAAGAACAACCCCAAAACUGUAGACAUCGCUUCUGUCAGUAAGGUGAUGACUGACAAAAGACUCAGGGUCAAGGUACCCAAGAGUUCCUUGGAUAAACAUGAUGAAAUCAUUCUUGUCUAUGGGCUUCAGUGCCGAUGCUCCAAAAUCUGCAACUUUUGCAUUGUAUUCAUUAUCCAAAAGUAUAUUGAGUGAUUUGACAUCCCCAUGCAGAAUUGUGCGAGAAGUUGAUGAAUGGAUGUAAGCAAGGGCCUCUGCUGAUUGUGUAGCAAUCUUCAGUCGAAGAUCCAAUGGGAUUAUUGAUUUAUGAUCAUUGCUAUGAAGGAACUCAAAGAGGGUACCAUUGGAUACGAACUCAUACACCAACAUUGGAACGUCUACCUCCAAGCAGCAACCAAGUAACCUCACGAUGUUCCUAUGGUUAAUCUGUGACAAUAUUAUUAUCUCAUUUACAAAUUCUUCUCUGCAGUCGUCGUUGAUUACUUUGGACUUCUUUAUGGCAACUUCUUUGCCAUCACCUAAAGUUCCUCUGUAAACCAUUCCAUGACCCCCACAACCAAGAACUCGAUCGUUGCUGUAGUUUUCUGUGGCUUUCUUUACCUCUUUCUCUGUAAGUAUAUGAAAGGUGUCCACUUGCCUUGACCUCAUCUCAUCAUAUAAUUUCAGACCUCCAUUUUGUUUAAAAUACUCGUCCUUCUCCUUCCUGUGCUUUCUUCUUUGAAAUUUCAUGGCCAACAGGCAUGCCAAUGCUAUCACCACAACUGAGGAAACACUGAGGCCUGCAGAAUGAUUAUGAUGCUUCAACUCAUCAAAAGCAUGUAAAUGCACCUUGGAUAAAGAAAGAGUAUACCCUCGGGUAUGUUGCUUACCUAUAACCACCUGUUCAGCUUGGGUUAGCACAGGUUGACAUCCGGAAUUUUUGCUAUCUGAUUUUUUUCCUAUCCCGCAUUUGCAUACAUAACCUCCUGGUAUGUUGCGACAUACCCCAUUUCUGCAUGGGUAUAAUUCUGUAUACUUGGAGUUUUGCUUAUGCAGCUUGCACUCAUCUAUGUCUGAAAAGAAUUAUAAAUUUAAUAUAUAGUGGCAUAAAGCCAUAAUUAAACCAAAACUUAAAAUAUAUUAAGGAAGCUAAAGAUUUUUUUAAGAAGGAACAAAAAUCUACUGAAAUAUGCUUGCAGUGACAGUUGCUUAUCCCGAUUUCUAAAAUUAAGAGAAAUUCCAUUAGUAAAUAAUUCACCUUGACAGCCUCUGGGGAGAUAAGGAUUGCCCUCAUAUCCUUCAGAACAGUUGCACAUGUAGCCUGGGCCAUUGGUUGCACCCACACAAUAGCUGUUUGAACUGACACAUGCAUAACCCAUUGGCGCCGUUGCUCCAUCCUUUGGGCAGGAGCCAUUUCUGAUGGCCCAGUCAGCAAUAACAGGGACACCUCUCUUGGCUCUCUCGUUGAUGAACCCAAGACGCCCGACAAGGUCCUGCUGCCUGAAGCUGUACCAUCCAACCUCUGCAAGCAUAGCGUAGAAGCAUGGGUUGAAUGUCCAUACACUGCUCUGGUUGAUGAUCAAGAGCGCCGCAAAGUCGGUGAGGUUUGGGGUGAUGGUGGUUUCGCAGCAGCCCUUCCCAGUGCACGGGGCACCGUUAGACGUGCUGUUGAUGCCCUGGCAGUAGGAGUAGCAGCCGGCCACAUACAGGUCUGGGUUGCUGUGCAGGUAGCCACCAAUGAUACCCAUGGUGUUGCAGCCAAUGACCAUGAAGCGGUUGCGUUUGGUUGAGGGGAUGAACGGCGUACCCACCAAGUUGAAGCCGCUGGUGUAGUUGUCCAUGAUUGUGGUGUUCGACGCGAAGCAGUUGUAGCUGACGGGGCCGUAAACACGCAUCUCAGCACGCUCCAGGGAGAUGUCAAUGAUCUCUGAUAACCCCGAAGGGCCACCAAUCAUUGGUCGUGGGGGUUGGAAGGUGCUGUUACAGGUGACGGUGAAGUAGCUGUUCAAGCUAGCUGCGGCGCAGCCAUUGCCGAUGCCAAAAGGGUAUGGGAUUGACACGUUGCCACACUUGUCAGGGCACCCCGGCAACGCUAUGGAGAUCCCAGAAGUGGUUGCAGAUAGCGCCGCCACUUUGAAGGCGAUGAGAAUCAGGAGGAUGAAUGCUUCUUUCAUGGUUGGAAACUUGGUGGUUACUUCCUGCGGCGCUGUCUUUCUAACUUGCCAACUUAGGCAACGGUAUCCCAUUUUCCUUCGUUGCUAUCUGAUUGUGUACCCUAGGCUUGAUAGACCAUGGAUCCUCAGACUGGUGCUUAUGUAUGAGCUACUAUUUACAGUUGAUUUGUAUAAUUGUUGAUUAACUAUUUCAUGGGUGACAGCGGCGCACACUUAGGUGUGUUUGAGAAAAAUAAACUAUUUCGUGGGUGAGAUCAGCGUUGAAUGGGAUACUUCUACCUGAAUUUUGUAUUGUUUAAGUGUUCAAAGUUGGAAAACGCAGUGCUUAUUAAGAAACAGAAAUAUAGUUUGUUUAGUCCUUUGUAUUGACAAGUGUCUGAGAGUGAAAGAAAGUGAUACCAGAGUUGCUUAUAUUUUGGAUAAAUCUUGUCACCCAUUUGUAUUGUUUAGUAUUGAGAGUUGAAAAUCACAAUGCAUAUAAUAUUUUUGAUUAGUUCGCUCCCACGUUUCUAUUGAAGGUUUCUCUGAAAUUGAGUAAAGGAUGAUGGUUUAUAUGUUGUUCUGAUUAGUUCACUUAUAAUUUAGAAAAGUCUUCACCGGUUUAUAGGUUAUUCAUAUGCCAGUCAAAGUAUAGCUCGUAGUUUAAUGUCCCACAUGUGAAUGCAUGUCAUAUCUGUUUGGUCAGAUAGCGUAGUUUGGAACUUAUACAUAACAAACUAGAUGGAAGCACUAGUCGAUCAGCUUGAAAAGUCAAGAUAAGCUUAGCCAGCAAUAGUUUGAAGUGCAUAACUAGGCUGAAAUCUGAAAAUAUUUUGACUGUUCAACCGUUUAUCUCCGUUCACAGCUUUCACAGGCAUUAGGUUUUUUGCUGUUGUGGCAGGGAGAAACGAUGAUCCUUGCGCAGAUGCGCCAAAGUGAUACCCUGGAGGUUGCAUGCUGAAGCCCCCCUGGCCUGAAAAAAAUGGACUGUUUACACGCAUGCUGACGAGUGUGAGCCUAGCUUCAGUCCGGUUGGGACUUGGAAGCCGAAUAUGCAUGCAAGCAUCAGAACUGGUCCCAGACUAUCCUAUCUAGCUCCAAACAGGUACUGAACGGUCCUCAUAAGCUAAUGUUAGUAAAUUUUGGUGCAUGCGGUUUCUUCACAAUUUCUGGGAAUUGAACUGGUCAAGGUGUCUAAUAUAUAAUUCUUGCAUAAGAAAAUUCGUCUUGAAGACUUUAGAGCUAUACCGUGUAGAGCUAUACAACGUAUGCUAUUCUACUUCUGAAAACACACACACAUAUAUUCUAGCAUGUAGCUACGUUACGUGAGGUUUACCCUAGUUAUAUGAUGGGCAUGAUCCGAGUUAACUAGGUAAUUCUUACCUCGGAUAAUAGUAAUAAUAAUCAAAACUAGACUUUUUUAUGACUCAAACAGAUACAUGAUACCAGUAAUUCAGUAUUAUGGUAUUCUGCUACAACUUCUGUCCAGAUGUGCUUAAUUGGGACGGCUAAAACAAAGUUCUACCUCCUGUCGAUUUAGCCCGUUGUACAUCACUGCAUGCGUCUAAGUAGUAAAUUCUGACAUCUAACAAGAGAAUUAUUCAUAUUAGGCUGAGGCUUUGACUCACUAUUUAAGGGGAAAAUGGCAACACCUUGCACAUAGACUUUACUUGGGGUGAGGUCAAUACUUGACUAGGACAAACCACCACCUAGCUAGUCAGACCAUUUUAACAUACAUACACCAGCUCAUCUCGAAAAAACAAAAUAAAAAGGUUGGACAUAUCAACCAUCAUACUGCAACGUGGAUUUAGACUUUUACUUGAUCGGAAUUCACCUUUGAAUACUUGAGUUGAUGUGACUGUAUCUGUUGUAUAGGCCGAGUCUGAUUGCGUGGUAUGCUAAGGCGCAAUUUAUCUCAUAAAAGGAGAAGCAUGGGGCUCAGCAGUCAGCACACUCAACACAAUCGCCAAAUUAAGCAAGGGAUGGCGUGAGCCAUGCAUCUAACCUUGCAGAAGCAAACACCAGCUCUGGUUGUAAUGCUCUACCUGAAACUAAUUGUAGUCUUCCUGGUGAUGGCAUUGGCAAAACCUGCGGGUGGUGCCAUGUCCCUGGCGCUCCCAGGCUGCCCUGACAGGUGCGGUGAUGUGCCCAUCCCUUACCCCUUUGGCAUCGGCGCACAGUGUGCCGCGGUCAGCCUCAGCAGCUUCUUCAAUCUCGACUGCGAAAACACCUCCCACCCGCUGCGGCCGACGGUUGGGGGGCCAGCCGAUGUGGCCGUCAACGUUGCUGAUAUCUCGCUGGAGCGCGGAGAGAUGAGGGUGCUCAUCCCUGUCAGCUACAUCUGCUUCACAUCAAGUGCAACCGUAUCGGCGAGCAAUAACAACACCGUGGGGUUCGGCCUGGAGGACACGCCGUUCCUCCCAUCCCCUGGGCGCAACCGCUUUAUGGUUAUUGGCUGCAAUACUCUGGGUCUUGUUGGUGGUUUCCGUGGAGGCACGAGCCAGUACCUUGCUGGCUGCUACUCCUACUGCGAUGGUGCCAGUGGUGCAUCAGACGACGGAGCACCAUGCACUGGGACGGGCUGCUGUGAGGCAUCCAUCCCGACCAACCUCACCGCCUUCAAUGUGGCGUUUCCGAUUAACAGUAGCAGUGUGUGGGGAUUCAAUCCAUGCUUCUAUGCCAUGGUCGCUGAGGUCGGAUGGUACAGGUUCCAGCGUCGUGACCUCGCUGGCGAGCUUGGGUUCAUCAACAACAGGGCAAAGGACGGUGCACCUGUCAUCGUGAACUGGGCGGUUAGGAACGGAUCAUGCCUGGAGCAAAGAAACUAUGCAUGUGUCAGUGCAAACAGUUACUGCGAGAGUGCGAGCAAUGGACCUGGGUACUUGUGCCAUUGUUCCCCUGGUUACGAGGGUAACGCCUACCUGAACAACGGUUGUCAAGGUAACUACUGUACUUGUAGGUCAUACAUAGCAAGCAGUUUGACUUACCUGAUUGCGUGCAAUGGUUUUGUUGAUCAUGUUCAGAUAUAGAUGAAUGCAUGCUGCGUGAGCAGGACCCCAAAUACGAAGAGUUGUAUCCUUGCAGGAACGGAGUCUGUCUUAACACUCCAGGAGGCUAUGAUUGUAAAUGCAAGAAAAGAACCAAGUCUGAUGGUACAAAGUUCGGAUGCCGACCUCUGUAUUCUCGAGAUGAACAGCUGUUGAUAGGCAAGUUCAACUCUCGUUUGUUUUGUUUUGUCUAACUUACAGAUUCAUAUAUUUCUCCUUGAUUUGAUGAGUUGAAACAUCUCAAUAUCAAUUUCACAUGCCUAAAUAAAAUUAUAUGAUUUUGCAGGCUUGAGCGUUUCUGCCGUUGUGAUAAUAUCCUUGGCAUGCUUUUUGGCUAUGCAAUUACAAAGAAAAAAGCACAGGAAGGAGAAAGACGAGUAUUUCAAACAAAAUGGAGGGCUCAUGUUAUAUGAUGAGAUGAGGUCAAGGCAGGUUGACACCGUCCGCAUACUCACAGAAAAGGAGAUCAAGAUAGCCACUGACAACUACAACGAAGAUCGAGUUCUUGGAUGCGGCGGCCAUGGAAUGGUCUACAAGGGUACUUUGGAUGACCUCAGAGAGGUUGCUAUAAAGAAGUCCAAAGUGAUUGAUGAUGAUUGCAGGGACGAGUUCGUAAAUGAGAUCAUAAUCUUGUCGCAGAUCAACCACCGGAACAUCGUGAGGUUAUUAGGCUGUUGCCUGGAUAUAGAUGUCCCAGUGUUGGUAUAUGAGUUCGUCUCCAAUGGGACACUAUAUGAGUUUCUUCAUGGUGGGCCUGAUCACAAUCUGUCACCAAUUCCACUUGAUCUCCGCCUGAAGAUCGCCACACAAUCAGCAGAAGCUCUUGCUUACCUGCACUCAUCGACAUCCCGCACAAUUUUGCACGGGGAUGUCAAAUCCGCCAACAUUCUGCUCGACGAUCAGCGCCACGCCAAGGUUGCAGACUUUGGAGCAUCGGCGCUCAAGUCCAUGGACGAAAGCGAGUUCAUCAUGCUCGUCCAGGGAACCCUCGGCUACCUCGACCCUGAGAGCUUCAUCAGCCAUGUCCUCACCGACAAGAGUGAUGUGUACAGCUUUGGUGUCGUUCUCCUCGAGCUGUUGACGAGGAAGAGGGCUCUGUAUGCCGAUAGGUCCUCCAAGGAGAAGAGAUCCUUGUCCCAUAGUUUCCUCCUGAUGUUCGACCAGAACAUGCACCUGAAGAUGCUCGACUCUGAGAUCGCAGAGGAUGCCGCCGCUAUGGUGGUCGUUGAGAAGCUCGCGGCCCUCGCCGUGCACUGCCUGAGCGUGAGAGGAGGCGACAGGCCGACGAUGAAGGAAGUCGCGGAGCGGCUGCAGGUGCUGUGGAGGAUCCAGAUGCGCCAGGCCGGUGAUGGUGACAAGGAUGAUGACUUCGGUGGAGGAUCCCUGUCGCCGGUGGUUCUUCCUUCGGCCGAGGUGACAGAUGGGAGCUUGGAGACGUGAGAACUGGCGCUGGGCGUUUAUGUUCUUGUAUCGUUCGUACUUUGUACGAACAGUUUGUGUGUUUGUGGGAUUUGUAUGGUGUGUUUAUGUGAUACUCCCUCAGUAAAUAAAUAUAAGAGCGUUUAGAUCACUAUUUAUCUAAACGCUCUUAUAUUUGUUUACGGGGGUAGUACUAGCAAAAGGAUCCGGUGUUGCAACGGCAGAAAAAAAAUUCAUAAUCUUCAAUAGCCAUGAUCACAUUUUGCUGCAUCACUGAGAUGUACUAUAACUCUCAAUUUUGUGAAAAAUCAUAAACAUUUUCUAAAACUCGUGAACAUAUUUGAAAUCGUGAAUAUUUUUCAAACUCAUGACCACUUUUACAAAUUUUUGAACAUUUUCUAAAAUCGAGAACAUUUUUUGAAUUCAUGAACAUUUUAUACUAUUUGCAAUCUUUUUAAAAAAAUUGUGAACUUCUUAAACAAUUUUCUUUAGAACAUUUCUAGAACGAACGAACAUUGUUUUAAAAAUUGGUGGAACAAUUUUUGAAAUUCACGAACAUUAUUUGAUUUAAUGAAUAUUUUUUAAAAUGCAUGAUCAUUUUCUAAAUCAGCGAAUAUUUUAUGAACAAAUAAACUAUUUUGUAAGUCAAGCAUAGUUUUUGAAUAAGCAAACAUUUUUUUAUAAAAUCAUGGAUAUUUUUUGAAUCCACACACAUUUUAUGAUUUAUUAAACAUAUUAUAUCAAAAUUCUCAUUUGUUUUAAUUUUUGGAACCUUUUUAAUUCCAAACCAUAUAAAGCAAAAAAGCAACGGAAAAGGAAAAGGAAAAAAAAUAAAAAAACAGGCCGCCCGGACAUGGGCUGGUGCAAACGGGCGUGCUGCAUCUUCUCCCAAUGCAGAUCACAGUAUAGGAGGUCCUACCGGAUGGGUCGGCCUAGGCGGGGAUUCCCCGGUAUGAAACAUUUUUUUAUCACUUAUAUGUGAUAUUGGUGGGUAACUGCAACUUUGGAGACAAUUUCCGCAACGUACCGCAAGAACCAAUAACCUCUUUGUUAUUAGGUAGGCAUAGAUAAUUAAACACACUGUGAGUAGGAUCAAUUACUUGAAAAAAUCCUAUUCUAACCUAUUAGAUGGAUCCUUGAAAAAAUAUCUGAUUAGAUUAGAUACAUUUUACAGUUAAAAAAGGUUCUACAGUUGCAAACUUACAAUUUUUAAAGAAAAUCAUUUUUUAAUUACAAUCCUACAACUUUUUAUGAAAUUCUUUAAAUUAAAGUGACCCUGAAAAAUGUGCUUGAGAAAUUACGUCAAUCAACAUCUCUAGCGUCAAGUCAAAAUAUGCUUUGAUGAAGCUGUUGGAGCGGCUUCGAUCCGGCAUGGGGUGAUGGCCGGGAUGGGCUACUCUUGGAGUGCGAUGGUGAUGAUUGUUGUGGAUAUGUGGAAGAUGGCGGAGGAUCGGGCCGUUUGUUGAAGAGCGGGUUGGUGUUGGCCUCGGAUCCAACAUUGAACAGUCUUGGAGGGCUCCUCCGGCCGAUGUUCUUUAUCGGGCUAAAUCUAGUCUUUCGGGGUCGGUAUUUAUCACGGCUUGUUAACGCCUACUGGCUAGGGGUCUCUUCAGUGCUAAGAUGUGGACCAAUUUUGGAGCUCUUCUUCGGCGACAGUGAAGGUCGUGAGCGCUUGGUAGUUACAACGAGGGUGGUAUGCAGCAGUACAAGCACUUGUAUCCUACUUGUUUUCUGUUGCUUAUAUGUGUUUCAUUUCUGUAUCGUUAUGUAUGCUUAUGGGUGUACAUCUUAAAAAUAAAAACUAGGGAUAGUUACAUAAAAAAAAUUCAUAUUGUUACUGGUUAGAUGGAUCCUCACAAAAAGGAAAACUAAUUAGACAGAUCCUCGCAAAAAAGAAAAUACUGAUUAGACGGAUCCUCGAAAAAAGAAAACUGAUUAGAUUGAUGUGGAGGUUGCACCCAAUAAAUUUUUUCACUAAAAAUUUUCUACAGUUACAAACUUUAAAGAAAAUUGUUUUUAUUUUUAAAAGACAACCCUAAAGAAUUUGUAUGAAAUUCUUCAAAUUAAAGUGGCCCUGAAAAAUUGUGCUUCAGGCAUUACGUCAAGGGCGAUGCUAGGCGCCGGUGCGCCGGCCGAACGUUUCGGCCGGUCCAGCCCUAGCCGUCAGAUCAGCCCGUCCCGCGCCGUUGGAUCCUUAUCCAACCAGGUCCUUGUCUUCCUCUCGCGAGCGCGUAACGAGUGUCGUCUUCCUCUCGCGAACCCCAUCUCGCCGGCUGCCCCCGCGUUCCCCCUCGUCGCCGCCCCUCCCUCGCCCGCCCUCCUCGUCCCUGAUCACCGUCCUCGCCGGCCGUCUUUCGCGGCCGCCCUGGUCGCCGGUAGUCCUCGGCGGCCGUCCUCUUCACCGGCUUCGCCCCCAUGCAAAUAGCCCAUCCCUGCGGUUGCAGCUUCCAUGGCCACCGUUGCAGCUCCGGUGCGCGACGACCGGAGCUCACCGGCGUGCUCAUCGGUGUGCUCACCGGCGCUCAUCCCCCGCUUGCGAACAAAAAAGAUCGAGCGCCCAGGGAGAUGCUCAGUGCUGCAACCUACGACGAAAAAAGCUACAACUAGCGAUAGGAAAAGCUUCAACCGGCUACGAAAAAAGGUUCAACCAGUAUACGACUGGAGCUAUGGAUGACCAAGAAAAGUUACAACCGGUGACAGAAAAAGCUUCAUCUAGCGAUGAAAAAAGCUUCAUCCGACUAUAAAAAAAGUUUCAACCGUGGAAACGAAGCCAUGGACGAAAAACAAAAAGUUGCAACCGACAGUUAUAAAAGUUACAACCACAUUGAAAAAAGCUUCAAACUCCUUAUCUCAGCUGCGACCCCGCGAUGACGAUGACGCCGUUUUGCUGCAACCGUAGUAGAUUUUUGCUACCACCGGCAGUUGAAUUUGCUACAACCGGUUUCAUCAAAAAAUCGCCGUGGGGUGUAGUCUGCCAUGGCUCCGGCGAAGUAGGCAGAGCUCCGAUGCAUGCGAGGUAGGCAUCGCCGUGGUAGCACCCCAUCGCCCCCGGUUGCAGCAUCUCCCGUGGUCACCGCCCCUCGGUCGCCGGCGAGAUGGAAUGGUCACCGUGCAGAUCCAUGGCAGCUUCGAGCGGGGAGGGAAGGCGCGGUGCUGCAACCAGGGGCGGGGGGGGNNNNNNNNNNNNNNNNNNNNNNNNNNNNNNNNNNNNNNNNNNNNNNNNNNNNNNNNNNNNNNNNNNNNNNNNNNNNNNNNNNNNNNNNNNNNNNNNNNNNNNNNNNNNNNNNNNNNNNNNNNNNNNNNNNNNNNNNNNNNNNNNNNNNNNNNNNNNNNNNNNNNNNNNNNNNNNNNNNNNNNNNNNNNNNNNNNNNNNNNNNNNNNNNNNNNNNNNNNNNNNNNNNNNNNNNNNNNNNNNNNNNNNNNNNNNNNNNNNNNNNNNNNNNNNNNNNNNNNNNNNNNNNNNNNNNNNNNNNNNNNNNNNNNNNNNNNNNNNNNNNNNNNNNNNNNNNNNNNNNNNNNNNNNNNNNNNNNNAAGAAGAGGGCGGCGCGCGCCCCGGCGAGCUGCGCGCGCCCCGGCGAGCUGCGCGAGAUGUGCACGGAGUGACGCGAGGAAGAGGGAGACCGGCCCAAUCUUCCGCCGGUGCGCCGGCCCCAACCGUUUCCCUUAUGUUAAUCAACAUCUCUGGCGUCAAGUCAGAAUACGCUUUGAGGGGGUCCUUGCUAUCUUCUGCCCUGCGCCGGAGUCUCCGCUGGUCGGCGGAUGCGCGAGGCGCCGCCAUUAAGAGGAUACUUGCUGCUGCCGAGGCAGAGACUUGAAGGGUUAGGGCCCUGUUCGAAGACCGAGCGAGCGAGCGAGCGGCGGCGGCUCCUCGGAGAUGCCGCUGCUGAAUUUGGGCGCCUCAUAUGUUCGACGCGCCGGCCGGCUCCGUCGCGAGUAGCGCCGCCUUGGGCGCGGAGGAGCCAUGCAUUCCUGGGCCUUUUGCGCUGGCCAAAAUGGCGACGCCAUGUGGCGUUUGGAUCGGCGAAGGGAGGUGCCAAGAAGAGAUUGUCACGAACUCAUCCUCGCAGGAUUGGAUUGGAAGGGGAAAGGGGAUGAGAUCGAGACUUGGGGGAGAAGGUUCUCGUCAAGGGAGGAGGUACAGAUUAGGUAGGAGAGGUUCAGAAUUCAGUAUACAAAUCACAUGCCCUGUCUACUGGCCAACAACUGGCUAAAUAGCGGUGCUCCACUUGUCCGCCUGGCCUGACUGGUGGGUCCGUGCCAACUGGCCGGAGGGGACCCACCAUCACGCGUCCACCGCAUCACCUCCUGGCGAUGCAGGUUUGACAUUCCCCACUCCUUCAGAACAAGCGCCGUCUUCAGAUUCAGCGUACUGCUCCACGUCGCCGGAAGAUGGUUCGUCCCACGCCGGUGCAAGCGGAAAACGACGGCGUAGGGUGUCAUAGUCUUCCCACGUCGUCACCGUGUCGUCGUUGCGCCAGCGCACCUUGAUCUGCACUAGAGCACUGUUGCCACGCUUGACCAUGCGCCGCUCCAGGAUCUCCAUCGGUUCGUCGUCGUGGCCGGCGAGGUCUGGAGGACGCGGCAGCUCGGAGAAGACCGGAGUGUAGUUCGGGGUGAACGACUUGAGCUGGGACACAUGGAAGACUGGAUGGAUUCUGCUGUCCGCCGGGAACUCCAGCUUGUACGCCAUCUUGCCAAUCUUGUCGAGCACUACGAAUGGCCCGAAGUACUUGUAUGCCAAUUUUGCACAGGGCCGGUUCGCCACUGAUGACUGCGCGUAAGUUUGGAGCUUGAGGAGAACACUGUCGCCCACCUCGAAGGAGCGCUCCGUGCGAUGCUGAUCGGCCUGCUUCUUGAAUCUGUGUUGGGCACGCAGAAUGUGAUCUCGCAACCUUGCCGUGUGCACGCCCCAGUCCCACGGUUCACCAUCGAUCAUGGGCAUCGUCUUGUCGUCCCAGAGUGACAUGGCGCCCAGGUUGGGCUCGAUGCCGUACAGAGCUUUGAAGGGGGAACAUUUGAUCGAGGAGUGAAACGACGAGUUGUACCAGAAUUCGGCGAUCGGCAGCCAACGACUCCAUUGCCUGGGCGCGUCGUGCACCGCGCAACGCAAGUACAUUUCCAUGCACUGGUUGACGCGUUCGCUCUGGCCAUCCGUCUGGGGGUGGUAUGCAGUGGAGAAGAGCAGCUUGGUGCCCUCACUGGCAAAGAGUUCGCGCCAGAGAGCGCUAGUGAAGACGCGAUCGCGGUCGGAGACGAUGGAGCUUGGGAUGCCGUGCAGCUUGACGACGUGAUCCCAAAAGACCUUGGCCACGUGAGGAGCUUUGAAGGGAUGACGAAGCGGAAUAAAGUGCACUGAUUUGGUGAGGCGAUCCACGACCACCAUGAUAGAAUCGAAGCCCUUCGAUGGCGGCAAUCCUUCCACGAAAUCCAUGGUGAGGUCGCGCCAGGGAGCGGUCGGCACGGGCAAGGGUGCAAGCGUGCCCGCGGCUUGGACUGCUCGUGCUUGGCGUGCUGACACACUGGGCACUACCGCACAUAGUCGGUGACGUCGGUCUUCAAGCCGUCUCACACAAAAAGCUUCUUGAUGCGUUGGUAUGUGGCCGUCGCGCCGGAAUGGCCACCGGCCGCGCUGUCGUGCAGGGCGCUGAUAAUCUUGGUGCGCAAGGCCGUGUUCUUGCCGAUCCACAAGCGCUCCUGCUUGCGGAUGAGUCCCUUGUAGAGCUCGUACCCGUCGUCGUUGGGGCUGUGGAUCGCGAGCCGUGCCAGGCGAUCUUGUGCCUCGGCAUCUGUGGCGUAGGAGUUUGCCACCUCUUGAACCCAUGCGGGCUGGCAGAUGGAGAGCGCAUCUAGGUUCAGAGACGCACCCACGCGAGAGAGGGCAUCCGCAGCGCCAUUGUCGCUGCCGCGACGAUAGCGGAACUUGAAUUGAAGUCCCACCAGCUUGGCCAUGGCCUUGCGCUGCAGGUCAGUGGCGAGCUGCUGAUCUUGCAGGUUGUAGAGGCUUUUGUGAUCCGUGACGAUGGUGAACGGGCCCCGUUGCAAGUAUGCACGCCACUUUUUGACGCCAUCAUGAUGGUGAUGAACUCCUUCUCGUACGCCGACAGCUUCUGAUUUCGCACGCCUAGGGCCUUGCUGAGAAACGCCAACGGGUGCCCUUCCUGUGCCAGCACCGCGCCCAUGCCAGUGUCGCAAGCGUCCAUCUUGAUCACGAACGGUCGUGCGAAAUCUGGGAGCGCGAGCACCGGCGUGGUCACCAUGGCGCGCUUGAGGAGGUCAAAUGCCGCCUGCGCUCUCUCGGUCCACUCGAAGCCCUUCUUGGUGAGCAAGCUCGUGAGCGGCUUGGCAAUGAUGCCGUAGUGCUCGAUGAACUUGCGAUAGUAGCCGGUGAGGCCGAGGAAGCCGCAGAGCUCGGUGGCAGUUGAAGGGGUCGGCCAUGCCACCAUAGCUUGUGUCUUCUCCGGGUCCGUGGCGACGCCGUCCUUGGAGAUGAUGUGGCCGAGGUAGGAGAUGCUAUCUUGAGAAAACGAGCACUUGGACUCCUUGGCGUACAGCUGGUACUCGCGGAGUAGAGUGAGGACGAGGCGAAGAUGCUCCAGGUGCUCCUCCAAAGUUGCACUAAAGAUCAAAAUGUCAUCCAAAAAUAUGAUCACGAAUUUACGCACGUACUUGGCGAAGAUUGCAUUCAUCAGGCACUGGAACAUGGCCGGUGCGUUCGUCAGCCCGAACGGCAUGACCUUGAAGUGGAAAUGGCCAUGGUGUGUCUUGAACGCCAUCUUCUCUUCGUCGCCUGCGCGCAUGCGAAUCUGGUGGUAACUAGCGCGGAGGUCCAACUUGGAGAAGAAGGCCGCUCCCGCCAGUUCGUCGAGCAGCUCGUCGACGAUGGGCAGUGGGAAUUUGUUCUUGACCGUGGCGUCGUUGAGCUGGCGGUAGUCGACGCAAAAGCGCCAGGUGCCGUCCUUCUUCUUGACGAGCAGCAUAGGCGCGACGAACGGGCUCAUACUGUGCUCGAUGACACCUGACUCGAGCAUUUCGCGGACUUGGCGCUUGAUCUCGUCUUUCUGUAAUGGCGAGUAGCAGUACGGACGCGAGUUGGCAGGGCGCGCGUCGUCCACCAGAGUGAUCGCGUGAUCGUAGCGGCGGUGAGGAGGUAGGCUCUUUGGUUCGGCGAACACGUCGGCGAAGUCCGUCAGAACACUCUGAACACUUGAAUGAAUUUUGGUUGCAGGUGGCUCGAUUGCGCGGGGCAAAUCCAGCACGACCAUGUACCAAAUGUCAUUGCUAGCAUGCCAUUUGUGCAGCUGCUCGGGCUCGAUCUCCUCCACUUGCUCGGGCUGCUUUGGUCGAACACCUUGUAGGGUGAUCAUGGCGCCCUAGUACUCGAAGGUUAGUGUCUUGCCGAGCCAGUGGCAGCUCAUGGGGCUGAACUGCUCUAACCAAUCCAUGCCGAGCACGCCGUCGUAGGCGCCCAACUCCAGUUGACGCAUGUCGGUGGUGAAGGUGUGGCCCUGAAUCCACCAGUUCAGCCCUUGCACCAUGCUGUUGCAGGUCAUGCGUUCCCCGUUGGCCACACGGACCUCCACAGCGGGCACAGGAACAGUUUGGGCAUGCACGCGCUUGGCGAACACCUGGGAGAUGAAGUUGUGCGUGCUCCCUGAGUCCACCAGCAGCAGCAUGACUUGAUUGCCGACGAGCGCGCGUAGACGAAUGGUGCGCGGCGACUCGGUGCCGGCGACCGCAUGGGUGGAGAGCACGCAGCACUCGGUUUCAGGGUCUUGAUCAGCUGGUGCGUCGAGCAGGUCCAGAGCGUGCACCGCGUCAUCGCUCAGUACUUCUCCGUGGUCACCCACCUGAAUCGUGAGGAGUUGUGUGGCCGGCUUGCAUCGGUGGUCGCGGGAGUAGUGAUCACCGCAUUUGAAACAGAGUCCAUUGGCGUGGUGGUGCUCCCGCAGUUGCCGCUCGCGCGCCAAGUCAUCGUUGGGGGCGGCCGCGCCGCCUGGCCGUGGCGCCCCCAUGGCUCGAGGAGGAAGCGGUAGUGGCGGCGGUGGUGGAGGGGGUGGUCGCCCCGCCGGAAUGAUCCGCGGUCGAGCAUGUUGCGUGCUGGCUUCUUCUUCGAUGAUCCGGGCCAACACCGCAGGGCGCGUGAUGCUGGAUGGCUCCUGAAGGCGAACUGCAGCCCGUAACUUGUCGUGCAAGCCCAGUAGGAAUUGGGUGAUAAACAGCUUGGGGUUGAGCGACGCAUCGAGGGCGAGCAAAUGGUACAUGUGGGUCUCGAACGCCGUCCGGUACUCGGUGACGGUGCCGGUUUGGCGUAGUUGUAGCAACUUAUGCAUCUCCAUCUCGAAUUCGUCAGGCGCGAAUUCAGUGAUGAUUGCCGUAGUGAACUCCUGCCACGACGGCGAGCGAUGAGUCUGUCGGUACGCCUAGUACUAGUGCGCGGCGUGGCCGUCGAUGUAGAGCGAGGCCGUUGUCACCCAGCUAUGUGGAGGAACGCGAUAGAGGUCGAAGUAGGUGAUGCAGCGGUCGAUCCAGAGACUGGGCGCGUCGCCGUCGAAGUGCGGGAAGUCGUGCUUCGGUGGCUUGACCGUGUACUCCUCGCGCUGUCCGGUGUGCGCGUCGUGGCCCGCCAUGAACGCGUUCGUCUGCCCCACGCCCGCGUAGGACAGGGCGUGUCGCGUGGGUAGCAGCGGUGGGCCGUUGUUGGCGAGGCGGACGGCUGGGCCUUGAGGACGAGCGCUACGGUCGUGCUCCAGCGAAGUCACCGCAGAGGCUUGGGUGUCGCCGUCAUGGUGGUCGGCGGUGUUCGGGCGGUGGCGAUAGGUUGCGGGCGGCGAAGGUGGUGGCUCGCGCUGCUGCUGCCGAACUUCGUCGACGUUGGCUUGGGUGAGGUCCAGCUGCUUGCGGAUGUGCGCCAGAUCCGCGGAGACCUGCGUGUUGAACACGAUCUGGGCCUCGCGCUGCUUGUCGCUUGCAAGCGUGGUCUCAUCGAAGCGCUUCAAGAGCGCCUGCAGCAUGGUUUUGAGUUCUCCCGUGGAUUCCGACAUGGCGGUGAUGAUGUGACGGGUCUGGGCGGAAGGUUUGCUGGGCGGCGCCGUCGCCCUUGCUCCAAAUCAGGCCAACCCCGCUGGGGAUUUCGAGCGGAUCUCGCCGGAGCAAGACCGCACCCGCAGCGGUGGAUGUUACGGCGGGAUCGAGAGGAUGUGAGGGCAACGAAAUUUCUGGGGGCAAAACCUGAGCUCUGAUUACCAACUGUCACGAACUCAUCCUCGCAGGUUUGGAUCGGGAGGGGAAAGGGGAUGAGAUCGAGACUUGGGGGAGAAGGUUCUCGUCAAGGGAGGAGGUACAGAUUAGGUAGGAGAGGUUCAGAAUUCAGUAUAUAAAUCACAUGUCCUGUCUACUGGCCAACAGCUAGCUAAAUAGCGGUGCUCCACUUGUCCGCCUGGCCUGACUGGUGGGUCCGUGCCAACUGGUCGAAGGGGACCCACCAUCACGCGUCCACCGCAUCACCUCCUGGCGAUGCAGGUUUGACAGAGAUCGACAGCGCACUCUUCAGUCGGCUGCGUGGGAUGAUGUGGUCGGAGCUCCGGUAAAGUUUAUCUCUUCAUGAAUGUUCACUUGUUCAUAUGCUCGCAUUUGAUUAGAAUCUACUAGGUGCUACAUCUUCACCUUGCUAUAAGAACCUAGGUGAAUCUAGGUUAUAUCAGUGAUUCAGUGUUAAGCUGUUAAUUGGGAGACUUGCCUGAAUGCUGUUUUUUGUAGUGUUCAAAGUUAGAAAUUGGAAUGCAUAGUACGAAAUUAACGCUACUUUGCUUCUUCUUUUUUGUAUGGAGAAGUUUCUCUGAAAUUGGAAGAAAAUACUCCCUCCGUUCCGAAUUACUUGUCUUAGAUUUAUCUAGAUACGGAGGUAUCUAGCACUAAAAUGAGUCUAGAUACAUCCGUAUCUAGAUAAAUCCAAGACAAGUAAUUCGGAACGGAGGGAGUAUAUGAUAUGAGUUUCUUAUGAUCUGAAGAAAUCUUCAUCAGUUUGUAUUUAUUUAGUAUCCAAAGUCAAAAAUCAAACUGUGCAGAUUUUUGAUUAGCUUGCUUAUGCGUAUUGAUUGGAAGUUUCUCUGAAUUAGAAAAAAAGGCAACAUAGGUUUGCUUAUAAUCUGGAAGAGCUUUCACCAGUUCAUAGGUUUAUCCAUUUACUGUUUAAAGUAUAACUCUUAAUUAUCGUAUCGUCCCACAUGUGAAAGCCGAUGCUUGAGUAGAAACUUUAGUUUGGAACUUUCUUCUGCAACAGCAAAGUAGAUGGAAUCGCUAGUCGGUCAACCUGUAAAGUCAAAUAAGCUUAGCCAGCACAAUUUGAAGUCCAUAGCUUGGCUGGAAUCCGAAAAAUAUUUUUACUGAUCAAUCUUUCGUCUUAUUUACAGUUAUAUCACAGGCAUUAUUCUAUAUUAUCGUGGCACUAAGAAACAAUGAUUCAUGAGCUGAAGUGAUGAUACCUGGAGGUUGGAUGUGAAGCGCUUCCUGGCCUGAAAAGGGACUUCUUACAUGCAUAAUGUCAGUCCUAUUAGGAGUUGAAUAUUGAUGGGACCAUCAGCCUGGCUGCAAAGGCGUCUAAAUCGAAUAUCUAGGUCCAAACAGGUAUUGAAAGGUCCCGAAAUAAACUAACAGGAGUUGAAUUGAUAGGAUUUAAUUUUGAUCACAAUCCCUGAGGAUUGCACUGGUAAAGGCGCCUAAUUUUAUAUUCCCCACAAAAGAUACGAAAACAAGGGCCUAUAAAUUCUUGCAAUGAUAUAGAUUAUAUAAUAUUGUUUUUUAUGAUAGCUUUCAAUAAUUACUAUAGUUGCAUAAGGCUGGUUGUAAUGGUAGUAUCAUAACUAGUAUCAUGCAUGCCAACUAGGCAAUUUUGAUGAGGUGUCAUAGUAUUAAAUAAAGAAAGAGAGGGUGGAGUAUCAUAUCAUGAUACCAUAUCAUAAUAAAUGCUAUGCUACUUUGUGUCAUGCAUGGCAACAAAUAAAGUACUACAUGAUACUAAUAUGUGAUACUAUGCAUUAGGGAGGUAAUAUUAUACACCAGUAUCAUAUGGAUGAUACUAGUAUAUGAUACUCCCCAUUACAACUAGCCUAAGAAAUUCGCAACCAAUGCUAUUCUAUGUAGGUAGGUUAUAGGUGGUGUUUACCUAAGUGAUAUGACGUACAUGAUAGGAGAGGACUAGGUAUAUUUUUGUACAAACAGAUAUGUACAGAAUCAGUAAUUUAGUAAAAGUAGACUUCACACUGGGUGGGAUUAAUAGUUGACUAGGACAAACCACCACCUACUACCUGGUUAGUUAAUUGUUUUGGCAGACAUACAUCAGCUUGUUUCACAAAAAGAAGGAAAAAAAGUUGGGUAUAUCAAUCAUUAAAUGUUGAGUGUGUUAUUAGUGCAUGUAUAUUGACUAGACCCAUCUCUUUAGUUUUGUUUUAUAGAUUGAGGUAGAGGCCUCACUUUGUAUUUAUAUAUAUCAUGCACAUUGCACCGAAUCAAUACAUCGUGCAAUUACAACAUCCUAUAUGGUAUCAGUUUUUAGAUUCUAACCUAGCCUUCCGCUGCCGACGCCGCCGCGCGCCUCUCGUGCCGCCGCCGCCGCUGCCGCUCGAUCUCCCCUGCCGCCGCCCAUCCACUCGGCCGCCGCAACCCCGCGCGAUUCCGCACGCCCGUGCCGCGCCACGAUCCCGCGCUCGAUCCCUGCAUCGCCAGCCGCGCCACUUCCUGCAUCGCUAGCCGUCCUGUCCCUGCAUCGCCAUCCGCGCCGCUUCCUGCAUCGCUAGCCGCCACGUCCCUGUAUCGCUAGCCGCGCCUCGCUUUCCUGCAUCGCCGUAUUGCGCCAGCCGCUAGCCACCAAGCCUGCUCGCUCGCCUGCUUCUCCCAUCACAUCUCCCGAAGCCGAGCCACCUGCCGCCCACGCCCGAUCCCGCGCCUGCCGCUACACCCGAGUCAACCGAGUCGCCCGCACCAUCCCGUUUCCGCUAUGUCGUCCGUCACCUCCUCCGCGUCCACCAACUCCAACUCGUUCGCCGACGCCAACCCUCCGGACGUCAACGACAUCCGCAAACUCAACAUCUUCGAGCGGGUGCCGGUUCGUCUCUCCCAGGCGGACUCCUCCUAUCAUGCGUGGAAGACGUAUUUCAUCUCAUGGACCACGUGGACGACACCGUCGACUCCAGCCUCGUUCCCGAGUUUCAUGGCUAGUCCAUCAUCGACACCACGAUCAUCCGCUGGUUUUUCCUCACCAUCACGCCCGACCUCUUCCACACGGUCGUGAUGGACGGUGAUGAUGCUUGCGCCGUGUGGACCAAGCUGAACAGGCUCUUCACCGACAACAAGCUCCAGCGUCGUGUUUUUCUGCAGCAAGAGUUCUUUGGGUGUCAUCAGGACAACACCUCCAUCGACGACUAUUGUCACCGCCUUAAGACUCUCGCCGAUGAGCUACGCGAUAUUGGCGCCAAGGUUGAUGAUGACCUCCUUCUCAGCACGCUCACCACCGGGCUCAACGAGGAUUUCGGCAAUGCCGCGGGGAACCUCAGCCUCAUCCCCAACCCGUCCUUCGCCAAGUUUGUUGCGUACCUCCGCUUGGAGGAGGGACGGAUGAAGCGGGUGAAGAUGCACGCCAUCCACACUGCUCUCGCCGCCGGCACCACCCGCGGCGGGCCUCCGGCGCCUCCCGCUGCCCCGAUGCCCCAGCAGCAUCAUCAGGCGCCUUUCCCGGCGCCUUUCCCGGCGCCCCAGCAGCCGGGGCUCCUGCCACUGUCGUACGGCCCGCCCGUGCCCCCUGCUCCUCCCGCUGAAAAGCGCCGCGGGGGCCGGCGUGGUGGCCGCCACGGCGGUCAGCAGCAGCAGCAGCCACCGCAAGCUGGCCAGCAGCAACAAUAGUUUCAGGCGCCACAACAGUUCCAGGUGCCGCCACCAUGGCCCUCCGGCUACAACCCCUGAACCGGUGUCAUCCAUGCGUACACCAUGCCGGUUCCACGGGCUCCUGCACCGACACUUCCCGUGCCGUGCCCACCGGCGCACCAGGCGUACUACGCGGCUCGGCAGCCGUACGGAGGAUACCCACCGUCGCAGAUAAACGGCGCCUACGGUCUCCCUGCGGCCCCGUCACCGGCCCUGCCACCGGCACCUUGGGAUCCGGCACUCCUCGCCGCGCUGCACGCUGCGCCUACACCGACCAACUACACUGGAGGCGGUGAUUGGUACAUGGACACCGGGGCUACGGCUCACAUGUUUGCUCAUCCUGGUAAUCUUGCCUCCUUCACUCCUGUCACCACCGACCGCCGCAUCAUUGUCGGCGAUGGUUCCACACUACCUAUCACACAUGUCGGGCACACUUCUUUUCCUUCCACUUCUAUGCCUAUUACUUUGUCUAACAUACUUGUGUCACCUCACCUUAUUAAGAAUCUUAUUUCCGUUCGUUGUUUAACUCUUGAAAAUCCUGUUACUGUUGAAUUUGACGGGCUUGGUUUUUGUGUUAAGGACGCGCGAACCAGGAUGGUACUUCUCCGAUGUGACAGCCUCGACGAGCUCUAUCCGGUGCAUCCGUCGUCCACCUCCACCACCGCACCGGUUGCUUUCUCGGCCGGUGUCGAUCUCUGGCACGCUCGUUUGGGUCAUCCCAACCCCGUCACACUUCGUCAUAUUCUUAGGAGUUUCAGUUUCAGUUCUAAUAAGAUAGAGGAUAACACCUGUCAUGCCUGUCGUGUCGGCAAACAUGUUCGCCUUCCAUUUAAUAACUCCACCACCAUAACUUCUUUUCCUUUUCAGUUGAUUCAUAGCGAUGUGUGGACCUCUCCAGUUCCUAGUAAUUCAGGCUAUUUGUAUUAUCUGGUUAUUCUUGAUGAUUAUUCUCACUAUGUGUGGACGUUUCCUUUACGACGAAAGUCGGAUGCACUCUCCACUUUGUCGGCCUUUUACUCCUAUGUUAGCACGUUGUUUGGGCGUCCCAUCCUUGCUCUUCAGACUGACAAUGCACAUUUUUUCGUCUCACAUGCCCGUAUACUUCACAGCAGAACGGUCGAGCCGAACGCGUCCUUCGCACUCUGAACGACUGCAUUCGGACGCUCCUGUUCCACGCUAAUGUGCCGCCUCGUUUCUGGCCGGAUGCACUCGCUACUGCUUCACUUCUCCUUAACCUUCGCCCUUGCCGCCCAUGGUGGAACUAUGCACCUCACCAUCUUCUCUUCGGUACGCCCCCAUCUUAUGAUGACUUGCGUAUUUUCGGGUGCCUUUGCUAUCCUAGCACUGCGGACUCCGCUCCUCACAAACUCGCACCUCGUUCUGUCGCUUGCAUCUUCAUCGGCUAUCCUUCCAACUCCAAGGGAUAUCGGUGCUACGAUCCCGUCUGCCACCGUGUGUUCACUUCCCGGCACGUUUACUUUGAUGAGCAUGUGUUUCCAUUUCAGCAGGUACCUCCGGCUGUUCCUCCCGCCACCGGUGACGCGGGCUCCUCGACGCCGCUCCCAGGGUGGUCGCGCGUCUCUCUUGGCCCGCCCCUGGCUUUGAGGCGCGCCCCCCGCAUGCGGUGCCUCCUACAGCCGCGACACCGGCCUCCACGCCCCCCGGCACCCGCGGCCCCCUCGGCGCCCCCGGCGCCCACGGACUCCUCGGCGCCCCCGGCGCCUGCGGUCCCCCUGGCACCCGCGGUUCCCCCGGUGCCCGCAGCCCCCCUGGCGCCUGUGGCCGGUCCGGUCACCCGCGCCCGUACGGGCAUAUUUCGCCUGAGCUCGCGCUAUGCCUCGAUGACUACGUCCAUGCGGCGUCCACCUCUAAGCCAUCGCCGUUGCCGUCCUGCGUUCGAGCCGCUCUUUGUGACCCGCUCUGGAUGGCUGCGAUGCAAGAGGAAUUUGACGCCCUGUUGCGCAACCGGACGUGGCAGCUUGUUCCCCGUCCCCGGCACGCCAACGUGAUUACCGGGAAGUGGGUCUUCAAACACAAGCUCCGUCCUGAUGGUACCCUUGAUCGCUACAAAGCGCGCUGGGUCGUUCGUGGCUUCCGACGGCGUGCUAGCAUCGACUUCACCGACACCUUCGCUCGGUCGUCAAGCCCGACACGAUACGCACGGUUCUCCACCUUGCGGUCUCCCGUGCUUGGCCGGUGCACCAGAUGGACGUCUCCAACGCCUUCCUCCAUGGUCACCUCGAGGAGCAGGUCUUCUGCCAGCAGCCCACCGGGUUUUUUGACCCGACGCUUCUCGACCACGUGUGCCUGCUUUCGCGGUCCUUGUACGGACUCAAGCAGGCUCCGCGCGCUUGGUACCAGCGCAUCGCGGCGUUUCUCCACCAGCUUGGGUUCCGCUCUACCCGCUCGGACGCCUCGCUCUUUGUCUAUCAUCAGGGCUCUGACACGGCUACUUGCUGCUCUAUGUCGAUGACAUCAUCCUGACGGCAUGUAGGGCUGGUCUCCUCAGUCAGCUCACGACUCGUCUUUGCGCUAAGUUCGCCAUCAAGGACUUGGGUCCUUUGCACUACUUCCUCGGUGUCGAGGUGGUGCACCGUCCGGAUGGCUUCUUUCUUCAUCAGCGGAAGUACGCCCACGAGCUCCUGGAGCGCGCCGGCAUGCUUAACUACAAGCCCGCCGCUACGCCUGUUGAUAUGAAGGCCAAGCUUUCUGCCAUGGAUGGUUCUCCUGCUUCGGAUGCUGCUUUUUAUCGGUCUAUCGUUGGUGCUCUCCAGUACCUCACCCUGACUCGACCGGAGAUCCAGUAUGCCGUGCAGCAGGUGUGUCUUCAUAUGCAUGCUCCUCGAGACGUUCACUGGGCUGCCGUCAAGCGGAUUCUCCGCUAUAUCUGUGGCACUAUGGAUCUUGGCGUCAUGCUUCAUGCCUCCGCCGACACCACCCUCACCGCCUACUCCGAUGCAGACUGGGCGGGCUGCCCUGACACUCGUCGCUCCACUUCAGGCUAUUGUGUCUACCUUGGACCCUCACUUAUCUCGUGGUCGUCCAAGCGGCAGCCUACGGUCUCUCGUUCCAGUGCUGAGGCUGAGUAUCGUGUGGUGGCCAACGCCGUCGCCGAGUGUUCGUGGCUUCGUCAGCUUCUUCAAGAGCUCUUUUGUCCUGUUGACCGUGCCACGGUGGUCUACCGCGACAAUGUCUCGGCGGUCUACCUCUCCGCUAACCCGGUACAUCAUCGACGGACCAAGCAUAUUGAGUUGGAUAUUCAUUUUGUUCGGGAACAGGUGGCCCUUGGCCAUAUUCGUGUUUUACACGUCCCUACUUCCCAAUAAUUUGCCGAUAUCAUGACCAAGGGCUUGCCUACGACGUCAUUUGAGGAGUUCCGGUCCAGUCUUUGCGUCANNNNNNNNNNNNNNNNNNNNNNNNNNNNNNNNNNNNNNNNNNNNNNNNNNNNNNNNNNNNNNNNNNNNNNNNNNNNNNNNNNNNNNNNNNNNNNNNNNNNNNNNNNNNNNNNNNNNNNNNNNNNNNNNNNNNNNNNNNNNNNNNNNNNNNNNNNNNNNNNNNNNNNNNNNNNNNNNNNNNNNNNNNNNNNNNNNNNNNNNNNNNNNNNNNNNNNNNNNNNNNNNNNNNNNNNNNNNNNNNNNNNNNNNNNNNAGUAUGUUAUUUGUGCAUGUAUAUUGACUAGGCCCACCUCUCUAGUUUUGUUGUAUAGAUUGAGGUAGAGGCCCCACCUUGUACUUAUAUAUACCGUGCACAUUGCACCGAAUCAAUACAUCAUGCAAUUACAACAUCCUAUAUUAAACUUCAACUUGUAUUGGCAUUGUAUUUUCUUUUAUAGGAGCCGGCUGCAUCAUGUGCCAAGUCAAAUUGCUUCUAACAUGAGAAAAGCUCGGGUGAUCGACAGUCCUACACAACCUCGCCAAAUGAAGCAAGCUAGCCAUGCAUCCAACCUUGCAGCAACAAGGAUCAACACUGGUCCUAACUAAUUGUCUUCUUGAAACUAAUUGUCUUCUUCUUGGAUUGGCACCCACUGUGGGUCGCGCUGCCAGGCUGCCCUGACAAAUGCGGCGAUGUGGCCAUCCCUUACCCUUUUGGCAUCGGCGCGCAAUGCACUGCGGUUAGCCUCAACAGCUUCUUCAACCUCGACUGCAAAAACACUUCUCACCAGCUACAGCCGAUGGUGGGGGGCCCGGGCGACGUGGCUAUCAGCGUCGCCGACAUCUCGCUGGAGCUUGGAGAGAUACGGGUGCUCAUCCCCGUCAGCUACAUCUGCUUUACAUCAAGUGUCGAAUCGGCAACCACCACCAUGCUGUUCAGCCUGCGCGACACGCCGUUCCUCCCAUCCCCAAGGCGCAACACAAUCGCUUCACCGUAAUUGGCUGCAACACCCUUGGGCUCCUUGGCGGUAGCCGUGGGGACAUGGUCCAGUAUCUCGCCGGUUGCUACUCCUACUGCGAAGACAUGAGAUUGUUGCUAUUAGAUGUGUAUUGUCACUUGUCUGUAUAUCCUCAAUGUAUAAGGGUUCCUCUGCACUUUGCCAUACAUGUAUAUGUACUGAUCUCUGGCCCUCAGUGAAGAUAAAUUGCUCAUUUUAUAAUAUGGUAUUAGAUGCUAGGUUUACCUCUCCCCCGCACGAUGCAACUCCGUGCGUGCUCCACCCUCAUCGCCGCCGCUGCUAGUCCCCAUUCCUAGCAACGUGACGUAUCCCGCUUAUCCUUGCCCUGCUUCGUCGCCAGCAGGACGUCUAGCGCCAUCCCCCUCGUCCUCGCCUGGAUCCGCCGGCUGCCCGGCCCUCUCUUGCCUAGCCGCCGCCGGCUGGAUCUCUUCUACCCGGCUGCUGCUCGACCCUUUCCUUCCCGGUCGCCGCCCGGCCCCUCUGGUUCUGCCCCCGCCCGGCUCGGCCUCCGUUUCUGCCCGGCUUCUGGCUCUGCCUCCCUCCGGCUCGAUCUCUACUUCUGGAUCGACCGGCUGGUCGCCGCCACUGCCCUCUUGCCUCGCUCGCUCUUGGCUUGCAUCGGGCUCGCUCUGCUUCUGGAUCGAGCGGCUCGUCUGCUCGCGUUUUGGGCUCGAGUGCGCCUUGGCCCGAUCUAGAUCGGGCCCCUUCUGUCUAUUGACCAAAAAAAGGGAGUGAGAUAAAAAGGGGAUAUCUCAGUAUGUCAUCUUCAGGCUAUGUGGUUGUUCCUUGAUGCUCAGUGAUUUUUGAUGGCACCAACUAUGCCGAGUUUGUAAGCUUCAUGCGCAUUCAUAUGCGUGGUCUUCUUCUGUGGGGUGUUCUUUCUAGCGAGAUCCCCUGUCCGCCAUGCCCUGUUGCGUCCGUCGCCCCAAUCCCACCGGUGCCGCCGGUCCUUGCUGCUGAUACUUCUCAAGCUGACCGGGAUGCUGCCAAGGCACUGGAUGAUGCCGCGAUUGAUGCUUGUGAUCAGCAGGUAUCCGCUUAUUCCGAUGCCCUCUCUGUGUACCGGGAUGAUCUGUCUGCUUACACUCAGUGGUGCAAUGAUGAUGCUCGAGCUGCUGCUGUUCUCACUGCGAGUGUCCUCCCUCAGUUUGCUUCCGAGUUCAUGGGACUUGGCACAGUUGCAGUGAUGUGGUCUUAUCCCUGUCAGCGCUAUCGGCCCUCUGGUGAUGCUCUCUACCUCUCUGUGGUGCGUCAGGAGCACGCACUCCAGCAAGGUGAUUCUUCUGUUGAUGAGUUCUAUUCACAGUGCUCUGCCAUCUGGCGCCAUCUUGACUCUCUUCGGACAGUUGUUUGUGGAGCCGGUCGUUGCUGUCAGACUACUCGGUCUGAUCUGGAGUUUCAGCGGGUCCAUGAGUUCUUAUCUCGCCUCCGGUCUGAGUUUUAGCCUCGUCGUGCUCACUUGCUUGCUCGUGGUCGUGUUCCUAUCUCCGAGAUACUUGCCGAGCUUCGUGCUGAGGAGACCCGCCUUCGCUCUGCUGGGUUGCUUCUGAUUCCGUCAGUACUGGCCGCUCGGGCUCCUACCUCGUCUGCUCGCCUCACUACUCCGCCGCUCCUGCAUACUCCUCCAGGGGAGGGUGAGCCGUCCUCCUUAUGCUGAGAAGGGCACGUCGCGCCGUGACACUGUCUGUGGUUACUGCUCCCGGCCAGGUCACCCAGAGUCUGAUUGUCGCCAGAAGAAGCGAGACCAGAGGCGCUCCUCCUUCAGCGGGACUCUUGUAUCUUCCUCGACUCCGUCACUCACUGACCAUGACAUUGUUCGCCUCAAGCGUCUUCUUGCUUCCUCAGGCUCCUCGUCGACUGCUUCUGCUACUGCUGUGACUGCAUCCCCUUCCUCACCAUCACCGGCAUCUACACAGUCAGGUACAUCUUCGUGGGUUCUGGACUCUGGAGCCUCCUUUCAUAUGUCUUCUGAUUCUUCCACAUUGUUUUCUCUUCGACCUCUUGAUUCGCCUGUUAAUGUUCUUACCGCCGAUGGCACAUCUCUUCCUGUUGCUAGUCGUGGUAUUCUUUCCACUCCAUCUUUUUCUAUUUCGAGUGUUUCACAUGUCCUCGCCUUACCAUGAAUCUUUUUUCCGCUGCCUAACGUACUGAUUCUGGUUGUCGUGUCAUUCUUGAUACCGACUCUUGCUCCAUUCAGGAUCGUCGCACCAAGGCUUUGGUUGGUGCUGGCCCUCGGCGCCGUGAGUCAGCGGGCCUUUGGGAGGUUGACUGGCUUUGUGUUCCUUCCGCUGCCACCACUUCUGCCAGCUCUCAUGCUCUUGCUGCCUCUUCGUCUGCGUCCUUCCAUCAGUGGCAUCAUCCCCUUGGUCACAUCUGUGGCUCUCGCUUGUCUUCGUUAAUUCGUCAGGGCCUCUUAGGGUCUGUAUCUGGAGAUGUCUCCUUACAUUGUAAUGGUUGCAGACUUGGCAAACAGACUCAAUUACCUUAUCCUACUAGUGAAUCUGUAUCUCAGCGUCCUUUUGACUUAGUUCAUUCUGAUGUCUGGGGUCCUACUCCCUUUGAUUCGAAAGGUGGUCAUCGCUACUAUGUUUUGUUUAUUGAUGAUUUCUCUCGCUACACUUGGCUCUACUUCAUGAAAUCCCGUAGCGAGGUUCUCCCUAUAUACAAACGUUUUGCUGUCAUGGUUCACACCUAGUUUGCCAUGCCCAUUCGUACUUUUCGUGCUGACUCCGCUGGAGAGUAUAUCUCUCAGCUGUUGCGUGGUUUUCUCGCGGAACAGGGUACUCUUGUCCAGUUCUCUUGUCCUGGUGCUCAUGCUCAGAAUGACGUUGCCAAACGAAAGCAUCAUCAUUUGCUUGAGACGGCUUGUGUGCUGAUGAUUGCUACUUCCCUUCCACCCCAUUUUUGGGCUGAGACUGUUUCUGCAUCCACCUAUCUCAUCAACAUUCAGCCAUCUUCUGCUCUGCAGGGUGGUAUUCCUAUGGAGUGUCUCACUGGUCGCUCUCCUGACUACUUAGCUCUUCGUAUGUUUGGAUGCGUGUGCUAUGUUCUUCUUGCCCCCUAAGAACGCACCAAACUGACUGCUCAGUCGGUUGAGUGUGUUUUCCUUAGCUACAGUGACGAGCACAAGGGAUAUCGAUGUUGGGAUCCUGUGGGUCGUCGCUUGCGCAUCUCGCGUGAUGUGACUUUUGAUGAGUCUCGUUCUUACUACCCACGUUCUUCUUCCUCGAGUCUCUCUGUGGAUGACCUUUCUUCCCAUCUCCUUCCUGAUGCAUCCUGCUCUGUGCCUUAUGUGUCACCUCUUCCUCCGGUACCUCUCAUUCCUUCAAACUCACCACCGACCCCGUCUUCUCCAUCCUCCUCCUCCACUUCUCCAUCAUCAUCUCCAGUCCGUCGCCCUCUCUCACCGUUUCCUCUCCACUAUACUCGUCGAUAUCAUACUGAGGAUGUCUCCUCUGACGAGCCUUCCACCUCUGGUGCACCUCCUCUCACGCCUCCCCCGGUUCACAACCUCCAUGCUCGGCCUCGCCCCCCGCCUGAUCGCUACUCCCCUGAUCGGUACGGUCUCUCUGUUAUUGCUGAGCCCACUUCCUAUCGGACUGCCAUGACUCAGCCUGAAUGGCAGCUUGCGAUGGCUAAAGAGCUUGCUGCUCUUGAGCGCUCUGGCACAUGGGAUCUGGUUCCCCUUCCUUCCGAUGUCCGUCCCAUCACCUGCAAGUGGGUCUACAAGGUUAAGACUCGCUCCGAUGGUUCUCUUGAGCGCUACAAAGCUCGUCUUGUGGCCCGUGGUUUUCAGCAGGAGCAGGGGCGAGAUUAUGAUGAGACAUUCGCUCCUGUGGCCCACAUGACCACUGUCCGCGCUCUUCUUGUUGUAGCUUCUGUUCAUCAGUGGUCUAUCUCUCAACUUGAUGUUCAGAACGCUUUUCUCAAUGGCGAGUUGCGUGAGGAGGUUUUUAUGCAGCCACCACCGGGGUACUAUGCUCCUGAUGGUAUGGUCUGUAGACUUCGCCGCUCCCUAUAUGGUCUCAAACAGGCCCCUCGCGCCUGGUUUGAGCGUUUCGCCUCUGUGGUGACUGCGGCUGGUUUCUUGCCCAGUGAUCAUGAUCCUGCAUUGUUUGUUCACACGUCUCCUCGUGGUCGGACUCUUCUCCUUCUCUAUGUUGAUGACAUGAUCAUCACUGGUGACGACUCUGAGUACAUUGCCUUUGUUAAGGCUCGCCUUCGAGACCAGUUCCUCAUGACUGAUCUUGGUCCACUUUGCUAUUUUCUUGGGAUUGAGAUCUCCUCGACCCCUGAUGGCUUCUACAUCUCCCAAGAAAAAUAUAUUCAGGAUCUUCUUGCUCGCGCUGCUCUUGGUGAUGAGCGCACAGUUGUCACUCCUAUGGAGCUCAACGUUCAGCUUCGUGCAUCUGAUGGUGACCCUCUUCCUAAUCCCACUUGCUAUCGCCACCUCGUUGGCAGCCUUGUCUAUCUUGCUGUUACGUGUCAUGACAUCUCCUAUCCUGUCCACAUCCUGAGUCAGUUCGUUUCAGCUCCCACCUCUGUCCACUAUAGUCACCUCUUCCAUGUUCUACGAUAUCUUUGUGGCACGAUCUCUCAGCGCCUUUUUUCCCCGCUCCAGCUCUCUUGAGCUCCAGGCCUACUCUGAUGCUAUCUGGGCUAGUGAUCCCUCUGAUCGACGCUCGCUGUCUGCUUACUGUGUCUUUCUUGGUGGCUCUCUUAUUGCCUGGAAGACAAAGAAACAGACUGCAGUUUCUCGCUCGAGCACAGAGGCUGAGUUGCGAGCCAUGGCUAUGUUGACGGCUGAGGUGAUCUGGUUACGGUGGUUACUUGACGACUUUGGUGUGUCUGCUACUACCUCAACUCCUCUCCUGUCCGACAGUACCGGUGCUAUCAGUAUUGCGCGUGACCCGGUGAAGCAUGAGCUCACCAAGCACAUCGGUGUGGAUGCCCACUUUAUGCGUGCUGCUGUGCAGGAUCAGACUCUUGCUCUUCACUAUGUGCCUUCCGAGUUACAGUUGGCGGACUUCUUCACCAAGGCACAAACUCGAGCGCAGCAUGGUUUUCUUCUCUCCAAACUCAGUGUUGUUGAUCCACCAUGAGUUUGAGGGGGGGGGGGUGUUAGAUGUGUAUUAUCACUUGUCUGCAUAUCCCCAGUGUAUAAGGGGUUCUCUGCACUUUGCCACACAUGUAUAUGUAUUGGCCUCUGGCCCUCAGUGAAGAUAAGUUGCUCAUUUUAUAACAGUUGCGAGGCAUCCAUCCUCCAUCCCAACCAUCCUCACCGCCUUGAAUGUGACGUUCCCAUCCAUCCUUACUUGCACUCGUCGACAUCUUGCACAAUCCUGCACGGGGAUGUCAAAUCGGCCAACAUUCUUCUGGACAAUUAGUGCAAUGCCAAGGUUGCAGACUUUGGAGCGUCAGCACUCAAGUCCAUGGAUGAAAACUCGUUCAUCAUGCUCGUCCAGGGAACCCUCGGGUAUCUUGACCCCGAAAGCUUCAUCAGCCACCUUCUCACUGACAAGAGUGACGUCUACAGCUUUGGGGUCGUUCUCCUGGAACUGCUGACAAGAAAGAGGGCUCUGUAUGCCGAUAACUCUUCCAAUGAAAAGAAAUCCUUGACCCAUAAUUUUCUCCUUAUGUUUCACCAGCGCAAGCACCGGACAAUGCUGGACUCUGAGAUUGCAGACGAUGCUGUUGCCACGGUGGUUGUUGAGAAGCUUGCUGUCCUCGCCGUGCACUGCCUGAGCACGAAAGGAGACGACAGGCCGACGAUGAAGGAAGUAGCAGAACGCCUGCAGGUGCUUUGGAGACACCAAAUACAUGCAGCCAGUAAUGGCGAGAAUGGUUGUGGUUUUGAUAGCAACUUUGGAGUAUCACCGUCGUCAGUCGUUCUCCCUUUGGAUGAGAUGACAGACGGUAGCUUGGAGAUGCGCAAACUGGUGCUGGCCGUGUAACUGCUUGUAUCGUUUGUAUGGAUAAUUACUCUGUUUGAAGGAUUUAAUUAGAAAGAAUAUGUUACUUUGGAAUUUCAAACAUAUUUAUGAUUUUUCUGCAAUAAAGUAGCAAGAGGGAGCAGUGCCUAUCAUACAUGAAAUCAGCAUACAUACAUUAAAUCUCAGUUGAGUUACAGUGCUGGACCCAAAAAGGUACAAUUUGGAUCACUAGUUUUUUUUUCUAGCAAAGUUUCAGCAUAUAUUCAGCUAGUAAUUACUGGUUAUUAUGCUGAUAAUUAUCAGAUACUGGUAUCUUUUUGCAAUAUCUCCGUCCAGUACUAGUUUGAUUCUCUCCAUGCUCUGGUAUUUGAUCCUGUCUGAAAUGGCAGUCGUUGAUAAUCCUCCUUGUAUUUGAUUUUGUGACUAGCUGCAUCUGUAUUCACCUCAACAUUUGUAGGUGCUCUGCAACUUCUUUCAAUGUUGGCCUCUCUUGUCCACCUGGGCUCAGGCAAAGCAUGGUGAAUUCAGAUAGUUUACAGAGCACUACCAUUACUUCAUCUUCUAUUAUUUAGUAGUCCAGCAUAUUGCUAAGCUUGUUCAGGUGGAACAUCUAGAUGGAAGUGUGACAUAGUAAUUUCUUUCCAUUAAAAGCAUCAUUGUAUAUAGCCUUCUUUCUAUAUACAUCACUUUUGUCAGUAAGGUGAUGACUGCCAAGUCUCAGGGCCAAGGUAGCCAAGAGUCUCUUGGAUAAAUAUGAUGAAAUCAUCUCUAUCUAGGGACUUCACUGAUGCUCCAAAAUCUGCAACUUUUGCACUGUGUCAUCAUUCAGUGGUAUAUUGAGUGAUUUGACAUCCCUGUGGAUAAUUGUGUGAGAAGUUGAUGAAACAUAAGCAUGGCCUCUGCUGACUGCAUAGCCAUUUUCAGUUGAAGUUCCAACGGGAUUAGUGAUUUGUGAUCAUUGUAAUGAAGGAACUCAAAGAGGGUACACCAUUUGAUAUGAAUUCAUACACCAACAUAGGUACAUCUACCUCCAAGCAGCAACAGAGUAACCUCGCCAUGUUCCUAUGGUUAAUCUGCAACAAUGUUUAGAGCAACUCCAAUAGGGUGACCCAUUUCGUCCGCCCGCGUCCGUUUUGGGUCGGCGCGGACAAAAGUGGCGGCCCAACGCGCCGACCCAAACUCAAAUCGUGUCCGCCCGGCGUCCGCGCCGACCCACUCCGGCCCAAAAUUGCGCCUGGAAUGCGUCGGCGCGGACGCGAAGCGGACGCGCCGCGCGUCUCCUCGCCGUCCGCCGCGUCCCCCCACCUGGCGGCUGUCCAACUACCACGGUCAACAUAAUUUAUGACGACCGCCCACCUUGGGCCCACGCGUCAGCGAUGGCGGUCGUCCUUUUUUAAGCCGGGCGUGCGGCGGGGCCGUCCUCAUCCACUACCACUCGCCCCCCGUUCCCAUCUGGCCACCCCUGCCCCCACGCCAGUGACAACCCUAGCCACCGCCAGCAUGGGUUUCUUCUCCGGCGUCGGCAGCAGCCGCAAGGGCAAAGCCCCCGCCCGCCAUUCCCCCUCCCUCCCCGCCCUCUCCGCGCCGGCGCGCGCUCCCCGGCAGAGGCAGCGCAUCAACGUGCCGGUGCACCAGGCCGAUGGCACCACCGCGUGCCUCUGCCGUACCCAGACAUGACGCUGCCGCACGACUGGCAUUUGGAUCCGGAGAGGAUCCCAGUGCCGGCGGCGCCGCGGACGGCCAGGGCCCAUGCGGAGGAGGUGCGACGCCGGCGGGCGUUGUUGAGCGAGGAGCAGCACGCCGACCCGCGCUUCGCCGUCGACUCGCUCAACUGGGCUCGAUGGUUCGCCAUCGAGCACGAGGAGGCGAGGCGACGCAGCAUCCGCGGCGUCGACCACAGCCUGCCGCCGCCCGCGCUCGUCGUCCGCGACGAGGACCAGGAGGCCGAGGCCGCCUACCCGGCGGCCAUCAAGGAGAGCGAGGAGGAGGAGCGGUGGAGGGAGGCGGAUGAGGCGGCUUUUGAGGCUGCCAUGGCGGAGGCCAUGGCCCUCUCCGCGGUGGGCGACUGCGUCGUGCCGCCGGUGGCCCCGCUGUCCCCGCCCAAAGCCGAGCCGGAGGAGCCGGCCUACAUCGGGCGCUACUCCUGGACCGGAGUAGUCCGCGAGUGGGUCAUCGCUCCGGCGAUCUGGCUCGGGGCGACAGAGAAGCAGGAGGCGGCCUACCUCGACCACUGGAGCCGCGUUCGGCUUGCCGAGGACCGCCGGGAGAGCCAGCGCCUGCAGAUGCUCGAGCGCGAGGCCGAAGAGGAGGCGCGCCAGGCCCAGGCAGCGGCGGCGCGGGCAGCGGCGGCAAAGCCCGACAUCACCGCCGUCUGGAACACGGCGUUCCCCUGGGCCGGCCCUGCGCCGACGUUGAUCGACCUCACCGGUCCCGACGCAGGCGCCGCCGAGGACGCCUAGGGCAGCACGUCGUCUAGUUUUUAGUAUUUUAAUUAAUGUAAUGUGGACUUUCGCCGGCCUUCGUGGCCGGCUUUUAUGUUUAAUUAAAUGCAUGUAUUUAUUUUCAAAAUGCUUGCAAUACUUUUUUUAGCGUGCCGAUGAAAUGGGUCGGGCCAGCGUUGGGCGCUCGCGCCGACCCAAACACAGCGCCGGACGUUUGUGUCCGCUGGGCCGACCCAAACGGACAAAAAGCGGACAAAAACGCCGUCCGUUUGGGUCGGCCCGUUGGAGUUGCUCUUAUGGCAACUUCUUUGUCAUCAUCUUUAUGUCAACUUCUUUGUCAUCAUUUACAAAACAUUCUCUGCAGUCGUAUUGAUUACCAUGGACUUCUUUAUGGCAACUUCUUUGUCAUCAUCUAAAGUUGGAGACUUGGUAGUUAGGAGUACUUUCCUAUGGCACUGUCUUUUCUUUUGUGGUGGAUAUGUCACUAUCUUUCCAACUUGCUAACUUAAAGCCAAUGCCAUCUCAUGUUUCUUUGUUGCUAUGUCAUUGUGAACAGCAGAUGACAAAGUCUGGUGCUGAUGCAUCAGAUAUUAUUAUUUACAUUUGUUUUGCAUGAUUGUUGAUUAACCAUUUCAUGGGUGAGAUCAGUGUUAACUGGAAGACUCUUCCCUAAAAUCUGUAUUUGUUUAGUUUCAUCCAGAAAACAGCCAAAUAAAACGCGUCCUCAUAGCUGGAAAUCAAAAUGUUUAGUAAGAAACUUAAAUUAGCUAGUUUGCUUAAUCCUUUGUAUUGAGAAGUUCCUCUGAGAUUUAUGAAAAGAUGCUAGAGUUGCUUAUAAUCUGGAGAAAUCUUCAUCAGUUUGUAUUAAUAUUAGCGUUCAGAGUUGAAAGUCAUAACAUGCAGCAAAGUUUUGAUUAAUUCACUUGCGUGUUUUUAUUGAAAAUUUCGAUUAGUUCACUUGGGUCUCACAACUGGAAAAAGGAUGACAUAUUUGCUUACAAUCUGGAAAAGUUUUCACUAGUUUAUAGGUUAUUCAUAUGCUGGUUAAAGUAUAACUCUUUUUAUCGUCCCACAUGUCAGCAUAUGUCAUAUGCUUUGUUAGACACUGCAAUUUGGAACUUUCUUCUGCAAUAAUAAACUAGAUGGAAGUACUACUCGGACAACUAGUAAAGUCAAGAUAGCUAGUCAGCAACAUAUAGGGAGCGGCGAUCUUUUACUUUUCAAUGCAUAGCUGGACUGAAAUGCAAAUCUUUUACUUUUCAAUGUUCAUCUUAAUUGACUGUUUUCACAGGCAUUAGUUCUAUGUUGUUGUGGCAGGAAGAAACGAUGAUCCAUGGACUGCUUACGUGCAUGCUAACAAGUGUGAGCCUGGUUUCAGUUCAAAUAGAAAUCAAAAAAUCUUGUCUACAAUCUGUGAUCAUGCAUGGGAGCAUCAGUCAUCAGACCUGGUUCCAGACCAUCCUAUCUAGGUCCAAACAGGUAAUGGAAGGUCCUCACGUAGUCACGUAAGCUACUGAGAGUUAAAUUCGGAGCCGGUGAUUUUUUCGCUAUUCUUGAGAAGUGAACAGGUCAAGGUGUCUAAUUUUAUAUUUCCAGAAAAAAUAGUAUGAAAAAUAGAAGGGCCUGUAAAUUCUCACAUCGGUAGAGAUUAGAGACUAGUUUUUGUGGCAGCUUUCAGUAACAACUAUAGUUGUAUAACAAAUUCACCUUGAAGACUUUAGAGCUAUGCAAGUAGGUCUUACAGCGUACAGAUAUACAACUAAUUAAUGCUAUUCUAUUUCUGAAUACAAUGGUAUAUUUUGACAUGUAGCUGCUCCGUGGUGUUUAUCUUAGUUAUAUGAUGGACAUGUUAGAAGUUAACUUUUUGUAUGUGUGUGUGCAAAGUGCAAACAGGUACAUGUACAUUCAGUAAUUCAGUAUUAUAGUAUUAUGCUAGCCGGAAACUCNNNNNNNNNNNNNNNNNNNNNNNNNNNNNNNNNNNNNNNNNNNNNNNNNNNNNNNNNNNNNNNNNNNNNNNNNNNNNNNNNNNNNNNNNNNNNNNNNNNNNNNNNNNNNNNNNNNNNNNNNNNNNNNNNNNNNNNNNNNNNNNNNNNNNNNNNNNNNNNNNNNNNNNNNNNNNNNNNNNNNNNNNNNNNNNNNNNNNNNNNNNNNNNNNNNNNNNNNNNNNNNNNNNNNNNNNNNNNNNNNNNNNNNNNNNNNNNNAGCCCCCGCCGGGCAAAGCCCGCGCGGAUCUGGCGGCGGCGGGCUGCCGUUCCUCGUGUGGCGCGCUCACGGGCUGGGGGAGCCCCGUGUGGCGGCGACCGGCGUGGCGUGACUCCGGCGCGCGGCGGUUCAUCUGGUGGAGGCUGGGGACGGUGGUGUGGAGGCGCUCGCUGCUCCCUCCCGGUGGCCUCUGCCGGCGCGUUCCUGGUGGGGGGCGGUGUGGGCAGGCUGGAUCCGGCUGGAUUUGGCCUGCGGUGGACCGGAUCUGGUCAUGUGUGGCGGCGGGCUGCAGUGGACCUUGCUCUGCGGUGGUGCAGGAAGCAGUGUAUCGCGGUCUACCGGUGCUUCUCGAAGGUGGUCUGCUCACUUGGGCGAAAGCCUCUGCUCUGACCGAAGCCGGCGAUGGCGACGCCCGCGGGUGUCGCUUACCUCCUUGGAGGCGUCGCUGUCAAGGUGACUUUCCCUUCGAAGCUCCAGGGGAAACCCUUGUUCCUGGUCCUUCCGGAAUGGUCGAUGGCGGCGCAUUUUUGCGUCGCAAUCCUUCUUGAAGGCAUCGGUUUGGUGGAUUUGUGUGGUCGCUGCUCUUUGCGGGUCGGAUGGUGGUGGUGGUGCGACUGGCUGGGGUCGAGGGUGGUGUGGUCGGUGUCGGUGAGGAGGUGCUGCUUUGCCUACGACUUCUUGGCUUGACCAUUCAUUGGAGUGGUUCGAUUCUUCCAUCAGAAGCCGGGUUAGCGGGGUGGGAUCCUCUCUGGACCACCUCGUUCCUGUACGACACCUCUCCCCCCUACGGGGUGUUGUUGGGUGGCGACCAGACGGCCAACGUUCAAGGCUCUCCUUGAUUGGUCAGAUGAAGAUGGAAGUUGAGACCUCGGGGGAAUCCCCUAGCCCAGGUCCUCCUGGUGCGGAUGAUGGCGGCGCAUCCGACGUCGCGGCCCUUGUUGAAGGCAUCAUCUCGGGGUCUGCUUGGUUGACGUGUGGGUGUUGCUGCAGGGAUGUUGGUGGUAGGUGGUGCGACCGGUUGGGUCGACGGUGGUAUGUGUUCGUCUGUGGUGGUGUUCGUCGGUGUCGCCCUGUUUGCUGUGCAUGCUCAAGACCUCCAUGGCUACCGUUGUGGUGCAGCGAGCUUCGUGCUCUUGGCGUUGUCCCGGUUCAUCUUUGCUCAAUGAUGCCGCAAGUUUCCUCCCCAACUUGCUAAUCGUUUCCGACUCUUUAUGGCGGAGUUCCCCGUCAAGGUUCGUGCUAGUCACUCGUUGAUGUGGAUGCUCCUCUGUUGCGCGCUCGGUACGCACGCCGGUGUGGUGCGUUAGGCCGCUUGUCAAGUCUUGGUAUUGUGACCCCUCGACGACUCCCCUCAUCUACUUGUGCCUCUCGUGGUGAUGUUCUUCGGGUUGCUAGGUAGGCGUGCCUUGUCUUGGGCGUCUUUUCUUUUGGUUUCUCUUCUUUUACCCUCUCUUGUACGGUUUUCGGCCCGGUUUUUCUCAUAAACAGGGUCUAAUUGUCUAGGUUUUCGAUCUGAUUUUCCUUAUAAACCGGAUCAAUCUCAUGNNNNNNNNNNNNNNNNNNNNNNNNNNNNNNNNNNNNNNNNNNNNNNNNNNNNNNNNNNNNNNNNNNNNNNNNNNNNNNNNNNNNNNNNNNNNNNNNNNNNNNNNNNNNNNNNNNNNNNNNNNNNNNNNNNNNNNNNNNNNNNNNNNNNNNNNNNNNNNNNNNNNNNNNNNNNNNNNNNNNNNNNNNNNNNNNNNNNNNNNNNNNNNNNNNNNNNNNNNNNNNNNNNNNNNNNNNNNNNNNNNNNNNNNNNNNNNNNNNNNNNNNNNNNNNNAACACGCGUCUAGACUUGCUUGAGUGGGACGACUAAGACAAAGUCUUACCUCCUUGCUAGUUAGCAUGUUCUAUAUCAAUGCAUCUGACUUAUAUCAUGAGAGUUAUGGGCAUUAAGCUAAGUCUUUAGCUCACCGUCGAAGGAACUUGUAAGUAGACUUACAUCAGUUGCUGACAUUUGUACGCGUUUAUAGGAAUCCACUACAUUAUAUGGCAAGGCACGAUUCAUUUCAUAUAAGGAAAAGCUCAGGGGCUCAGCAGUCGGCAAACUCACACAAAGUCCCCAAAUUAAGCAAGUGAUGGCGCGAUCCAUGCAUCCAACACCGGUCCCAGUGUUCUUUCUAGAGCUAGUCUUCUUGGUGAUGGCAUUGGCACCCGCUGUGGGUGGCACCACAUCGCUGGCGCUACCUGGGUGCCCUGAAAAGUGCGGCGACGUGCUCAUCCCUUACCCCUUCGGCAUCGGGGCGCAGUGCGCCUCAGUCAGCCUCAACAGCUUCUUCAAUCUCGACUGUAAAAAUGCCUCUUAUCCGCCACGACCGACGGUGGGGGGCCCAGCCGGCAUGGCUGUAGACGUCGUUGAUAUCUCACUUGAGCGUGGUGAGAUGCGGGUGCUAUUCCCGAUCAGCUACAUCUGCUUCACAUCGAGUGCCGUGGUUUUUUUUUCGAAAAGGGGGACUCCCCGGCCUCUGCAUCAGAACGAUGCAUACGGCCAUAUUUAUUAUAAAAUAAAGUGGUUCAAUAAUGUCUUGCAGUCCGCAACAAAAUGAAAAGCUGGCUCACGAAGAGCAACAAAAACAAAAAAAA